rnacentral:miRNA from 2 species
UAGAUACAUCCGUAUCUAGA